rnacentral:rRNA from 1 species
GAUGAACGCUGGCGGCGUGCCUAAUACAUGCAAGUCGAGCGAACAGACGAGAGUGCUUGCCCUCUCUGACGUUAGCGGCGGACGGGUGAGUAACACGUGGGUAACCUACCUAUAAGACUGGGAUAACUUCGGGAAACCGGAGCUAAUACCGGAUAAUAUUUAGCUUCGCAUGAAGCAAUAGUGAAAGACGGUUUUGCUGUCACUUAUAGAUGGACCCGCGGUGUAUUAGCUAGUUGGUGAGGUAACGGCUCACCAAGGCAACGGUACAUAGCCGACCUGAGAGGGUGAUCGGCCACACUGGGACUGAGACACGGCCCAGACUCCUACGGGAGGCAGCAGUAGGGAAUCUUCCGCAAUGGACGAAAGUCUGACGGAGCAAUGCCGCGUGAGUGAAGAAGGUUUUCGGAUCGUAAAACUCUGUUGUAAGGGAAGAACAAGUACGUUAGUAACUGAACGUACCUUGACGGUACCUUACCAGAAAGCCACGGCUAACUACGUG